rnacentral:rRNA from 1 species
GACGAACGCUGGCGGCGUGCCUAACACAUGCAAGUCGAGCGAAGUUAUUCUUUCGGGAGUAGCUUAGCGGCGGACGGGUGAGUAACACGUGGGUAACCUGCCUUAUAGAGGGGGAUAGCCUUCCGAAAGGAAGAUUAAUACCGCAUAACAUUGAGCUUUCGCAUGGAAGCUUAAUCAAAGGAGUAAUCCGCUAUAAGAUGGACCCGCGGCGCAUUAGCUAGUUGGUGAGGUAACGGCUCACCAAGGCGACGAUGCGUAGCCGACCUGAGAGGGUGAUCGGCCACAUUGGGACUGAGACACGGCCCAGACUCCUACGGGUGGCAG